GCAGCGACGCCGCGUGAGGGAUGACGGCCUUCGGGUUGUAAACCUCUUUCAGUAUCGGCGAAGCUUGCGGGUUUUCUCGCAGGUGACGGUAGGUACAGAAGAAGCACCGGCCAACUACGUGCCAGCAGCCGCGGUAAUACGUAGGGUGCGAGCGUUGUCCGGAAUUACUGGGCGUAAAGAGCUCGUAGGUGGUUUGUCACGUUGUCCGUGAAAACUCACAGCUUAACUGUGGGCGUGCGGGCGAUACGGGCAGACUAGAAUACUGCAGGGGAGACUGGAAUUCCUGGUGUAGCGGUGGAAUGCGCAGAUAUCAGGAGGAACACCGGUGGCGAAGGCGGGUCUCUGGGCAGUAACUGACGCUGAGGAGCGAAAGCGUGGGGAGCGAACAGGAUUAGAUACCCUGGUAGUCCACGCCGUAAACGGUGGGUACUAGGUGUGGGUUUCCUUCCUUUAGGGAUCCGUGCCGUAGCUAACGCAUUAAGUACCCCGCCUGGGGAGUACGGCCGCAAGGCUAAAACUCAAAGGAAUUGACGG
rnacentral:rRNA from 1 species